GAUGAACGCUGGCGGCGUGCCUAAUACAUGCAAGUCGAGCGAACGGACGAGAAGCUUGCUUCUCUGAUGUUAGCGGCGGACGGGUGAGUAACACGUGGAUAACCUACCUAUAAGACUGGGAUAACUUCGGGAAACCGGAGCUAAUACCGGAUAAUAUUUUGAACCGCAUGGUUCAAAAGUGAAAGACGGUCUUGCUGUCACUUAUAGAUGGAUCCGCGCUGCAUUAGCUAGUUGGUAAGGUAACGGCUUACCAAGGCAACGAUGCAUAGCCGACCUGAGAGGGUGAUCGGCCACACUGGAACUGAGGCACGGUCCAGACUCCUACGGGAGGCAGCAGUAGGGAAUCUUCCGCGAAGGGCGAAAGCCUGACGGAGCAACGCCGCGUGAGUGAUGAAGGUCUUCGGAUCGUAAAACUCUGUUAUUAGGGAAGAACAUAUGUGUAAGUAACUGUGCACAUCUUGACGGUACCUAAUCAGAAAGCCACGGCUAACUACGUG
rnacentral:rRNA from 1 species